GUCUCUUCGGGGAUAUUUGAUAAAAUUGGAACGAAACAGAGAAGAUUAGCAUGGCCCCUGCGCAAGAAUGAUACGCACAAAAAAAAAAGUUAUUCAGUAAUC
rfam:Ipomoea nil DNA, scaffold: scaffold2558, cultivar: Tokyo-kokei standard.